rnacentral:tRNA from 1 species
GCCUUAUUAGUCUGGUGGCUAGGAUUCCUGGUUCUCAUCCAGGUUAUCCAGGUUCAAUUCCUGAGAAGGGA